UUCUAGAACCAUCCACAUUCCCCCCUUGUAGCUCUCCAGUAUCCCCCAAGCAUUCCCCCAUCACUGUCAGAUUAACCCCUUUUCUGACCCAGAGAUGGGGCAACUGAGGGGUGUUUUAAAAACUUUUAUUCUAUUUUCAGUCUCGUGUGAAGGGUGAGGCAACACAGAUGUUAUAAUUCACACCAUCACAAUCAGGAGCCAAUUAUUUCCUAAUUACAAUACACUAGAAGUGUUUUUUGGGAUGUCCUGAGUUUGGAAGGUUUUGCCACACCGUGCUGUAAUUGCCUUAAAGCCAAUUAUCUAAAAUUACCCCUUGUGGCUCCUACUGCAAUGAAUCUUUCAUAGUUCUAUUUCUCUAAAGUAUCAGGUCUCAUUUGCAAGGCCACCUUUUGAAAUUUUUUCCCUAGUUCUUUUUCUGUCUGUCCUAUUCCAUGGCAUUCUGUGUUUCGAAAUUUUGAAAAUUUUUUUUCUGUCUGUCGUAUUCCAUGGCAUUCUAAGUUUUGAAAUUUUGAUAUUUUUUUUCCCCUAGUUCUUUUUCUGUCUUAUUCCAUGGCAUGCUAAGUUUUGAGACUUUGAAUUUUUUUUCCUAGUUCUUUUGCUGCCUGUCCUAUUCCAUGGCUUUCUAAGUUUUGAUUUUUUUUUCCUAGUUCUUUGUCUAUCUGCCCUAUUCCAUGGCAUUCUAAGUUUCAAAAUUUUGACAUUUUUUUCCAUAGUUCUUUUUCUCUCUAUCCUAUUUCAACUCAGCAUUUCUCAUCUCCGUGUUUGCACACUGUGUGAGCUUUCCACCACAUCCCCACCCCGAUAUUCCUCCAGAUUGUCCCCAAAAUCCCUCCAGCACCCCUCUGGCACCAUCCCAGCUGGCAGCGGACUGGAGCUCACCUUGAAGAGGCGAAACGCGGCCAUCCAGCAGCUGCGGCUCUGCUCGUCCUCGCUGCAGAGCAACUUCAGAGCCUUCACUCCGCCCCGAACCUUGUGGGGCUGCGGGAAAGCGGAGCCGUCACGGAGGGGACAGGGACAGGGACAGGGACAGGGACA
rnacentral:lncRNA from 1 species